GUGGAGAGAGGAGUCGGGUGCCAGAGUAUUCCUGCUUCUACAGUGUGCCUCCUUGAGCCUCCUGCACCUCCGCCCUAUCUCUGCCACGCUGCCACGCUCUCCCUCCGGACACUCACCUGCCUUCACCCCGAGCCUCACGCUUCACUCCUGCUUCUCCUGGAUCUCACCCUCACCUUGGAUUCUAGAUCAAUCAUCCUCCACCUCACCGUUAAAGCAAUAAAAUCACUUCAACUGCU